UACGAAGGGGGCGAGCGUUGUUCGGAUUUACUGGGCGUAAAGGGCGCGCAGGCGGCCAUUCAAGUCAGGGCGUGAAAGCCCCGGGCUUAACCUGGGAGGUGCGCUUGGGACGUGGGUGGCUAGAGAUCGGGGAGAGGAGAGUGGAAUUCCCAGUGUAGAGGUGAAAUCGUAGAUAUUGGGAAGAACACCGGUGGCGAAGGCAAUCCCCUGGGCCUGCACUGACGCUCAUGCACGAAAGCGUGGGGAGCAAACAGG
rnacentral:rRNA from 1 species